rnacentral:rRNA from 1 species
ACGCUCGACACCUACUGGAGGCAGCAGUGGGGAAUAUUGCACAAUGGGGGAAACCCUGAUGCAGCGACGCCGCGUGAGCGAAGAAGUAUUUCGGUAUGUAAAGCUCUAUCAGCAGGGAAGAAACUGACGGUACCUGACUAAGAAGCACCGGCUAAAUACGUGCUAGCAGCCGCGGUAAUCUGAGCGGGCUGGCAAGGC